AUUGCGCCAUCACUGCUUCUUCUGCGACUGACUGCACCUUGCCCUCGCUCUCCACUGAAGAUGGGCAUCUGUCGGGAAAGUUACGGGAAAUAGAAUCAGUCACAUGAAUACCAGGAAAUAGAGUGCUCCAUGCAAGCAUUAAAACAAGGAGAUCUGCCAGGCCUUCUCCAAUUGAUAUCCCAGUCUGUCUUUCAAACCACUGCCCGGCUACUAGGCUAAAUUGGUCCCUAGCAUCCUUAAAGCUGCUGAAAUUCCAGAUUGGAGAGUUGCUAAGCAAAAAGCUAAAUAAUUCCAAAGCAAAUAACAAAAAGAAGACUGAUUGCAUUUUGUCUCAGAAUAUCACCAUCUACAUCAUUUUAAAAGUUAAUUUAAAGGUGAACUACCCCUUUAAUCAGACGCUUUAGUGAUAUUUUAUAUCACAAAUAAUUUCCAUCACUUUCCAAACAGGUUGAAGUUGUAUAUCAGUAUAGGUUAUUGGGGUAUCUGCCAAGCUGUGUACAAUUCAGUUUUUCCAUUCUGCCAGGAUAGACAAGAUCCUUUAUAUAUGUUUUAUGUUGAGACAAUACGUGGUUGUGGUGCUUAAUUCUGCAUACUGUAGGAAGCAUUAUUUUAAAUUCUGACACACCUGCUAAUCUUGUAUCAUCUGUAGGGAAACUUUAAUGGCAAACUAUGUGCUUUUGAUUACAUAUCAUUAGACAAGAUUGUGACGUAUGAUACCGACUGUAAAUUCCACUAAGCCAGGACAAUUAGUCACAUAUGUUCAUUUUUACUGUAUAUUGAUAAAUACUGAUAAGGGUGAAUUCCUACAGUCAUAUGCAGUACUUCUAUGUAUAUGCAAGUUAUUUAGGAUCAUGUGUCACAAUUGUAUUUGAAUGCAUUUAUUUUCAGUUUUGAAAUAAUCCCCGGCCCUCUGGUAGUGAUGAUAAGAAGUGA